rnacentral:rRNA from 1 species
ACUAGGGAUCGGGCGAUGUUAUUUUUUGACUCGCUCGGCACCUUACGAGAAAUCAAAGUUUAAGGGUUCUGGGGGGAGUAUGGUCGCAAGGCUGAAACUUAAAGAAAUUGACGGAAGGGCACCACCAGGAGUGGAGCCUGCGGCUUAAUUUGACUCAACACGGGGAAACUCACCAGGUCCAGACACAAUAAGGAUUGACAGAUUGAGAGCUCUUUCUUGAUUGUGGG